rnacentral:rRNA from 1 species
AUUGAACGCUGGCGGCAUGCCUUACACAUGCAAGUCGAACGGCAGCACGGGGCAACCUGGUGGCGAGUGGCGAACGGGUGAGUAAUGCAUCGGAACGUACCUUUCAGUGGGGGAUAACGUAGCGAAAGUUACGCUAAUACCGCAUAUUCUGUGAGCAGGAAAGCAGGGGAUCGCAAGACCUUGCGCUGAUUGAGCGGCCGAUGUCAGAUUAGCUAGUUGGUGAGGUAAAGGCUCACCAAGGCGACGAUCUGUAGCGGGUCUGAGAGGAUGAUCCGCCACACUGGAACUGAGACACGGUCCAGACUCCUAUGGGAGGCAGCAGUGGGGAAUUUUGGACAAGGGGGGCAACCCUGAUCCAGCCAUGCCGCGUGAGUGAAGAAGGCCUUCGGGUUGUAAAGCUCUUUCGGCCGGGAAGAAAUCGCACGGGCUAAUACCCUGUGUGAAUGACGGUACCGGAAUAAGAAGCACCGGCUAACUACGUGCCAGCAGCCGCAGUAACAC